GCAGCCGCGGUAAUACGUAGGGUCCGAGCGUUGUCCGGAAUUAUUGGGCGUAAAGAGCUCGUAGGCGGUUUGUCGCGUCUGCUGUGAAAACUAGAGGCUCAACCUCUAGCCUGCAGUGGGUACGGGCAGACUUGAGUGGUGUAGGGGAGACUGGAAUUCCUGGUGUAGCGGUGGAAUGCGCAGAUAUCAGGAGGAACACCGAUGGCGAAGGCAGGUCUCUGGGCACUUACUGACGCUGAGGAGCGAAAGCGUGGGGAGCGAACAGGAUUAGAUACCCUGGUAGUCCACGCCGUAAACGUUGGGCGCUAGAUGUGGGGACCUUUCCACGGUUUCCGUGUCGUAGCUAACGCAUAAGCGCCCCGCC
rnacentral:rRNA from 1 species